CUUUAAUGUUUGAUGUUCUAACGUGGACCCGUAAUCCGGGUUGCGGACAGUGUCUGGUGGGUAGUUUGACUGGGGCGGUCUCCUCCUAAAGAGUAACGGAGGAGCACGAAGGUUGGCUAAUCCUGGUCGGACAUCAGGAGGUUAGUGCAAUGGCAUAAGCCAGCUUGACUGCGAGCGUGACGGCGCGAGCAGGUGCGAAAGCAGGUCAUAGUGAUCCGGUGGUUCUGAAUGGAAGGGCCAUCGCUCAACGGAUAAAAGGUACUCCGGGGAUAACAGGCUGAUACCGCCCAAGAGUUCAUAUCGACGGCGGUGUUUGGCACCUCGAUGUCGGCUCAUCACAUCCUGGGGCUGAAGUAGGUCCCAAGGGUAUGGCUGUUCGCCAUUUAAAGUGGUACGCGAGCUGGGUUUAGAACGUCGUGAGACAGUUCGGUCCCUAUCUGCCGUGGGCGCUGGAGAACUGAGGGGGGCUGCUCCUAGUACGAGAGGACCGGAGUGGACGCAUCACUGGUGUUCGGGUUGUCAUGCCAAUGGCACUGCCCGGUAGCUAAAUGCGGAAGAGAUAAGUGCUGAAAGCAUCUAAGCACGAAACUUGCCCCGAGAUGAGUUCUCCCUGACUCCUUGAGAGUCCUGAAGGAACGUUGAAGACGACGACGUUGAUAGGCCGGGUGUGUAAGCGCAGCGAUGCGUUGAGCUAACCGGUACUAAUGAACCGUGAGG
rnacentral:rRNA from 1 species